rnacentral:rRNA from 1 species
GACGAACGCUGGCGGCGUGCUUAACACAUGCAAGUCGAACGGAAAGGCCCUGCUUUUGUGGGGUGCUCGAGUGGCGAACGGGUGAGUAACACGUGAGUAACCUGCCCUUGACUUUGGGAUAACUUCAGGCAACUGGGCCUCAUACCGCCUAGCAGCUCCUGCUGCAUGGUGGGCGUUGGACAGUUUCGGCGGUGGGGGAUGGCCUCGCGGCUUCUCAGCCUGUUGGUGGGGCAGUGGCUUACCAAGGCUUCGACGGGUAGCCGGCCUGAGAGGGUGACCGGCCACAUUGGGACUGAGAUACGGCCCAGACUCCUACGGGAGGCAGCAGUGGGGAAUAUUGCACAAUGGGCGGAAGCCUGAUGCAGCAACGCCGCGUGCGGGAUGACGGCCUUCGGGUUGUAAACCGCUUUCGCCUGUGACGAAGCGUGAGUGACGGUAAUGGGUAAAGAAGCACCGGCUAACUACGUG